rnacentral:rRNA from 1 species
UUAAGCAUAUCAAUAAGCGGAGGAAAAGAAACCAACAGGGAUUGCCCUAGUAACGGCGAGUGAAGCGGCAACAGCUCAAAUUUGAAAUCUGGCGUCUUCGGCGUCCGAGUUGUAAUUUGCAGAGGGCGCUUUGGCAUUGGCAGCGGUCCAAGUUCCUUGGAACAGGACGUCACAGAGGGUGAGAAUCCCGUACGUGGUCGCUAGCCUUUACCGUGUAAAGCCCCUUCGACGAGUCGAGUUGUUUGGGAAUGCAGCUCUAAAUGGGAGGUAAAUUUCUUCUAAAGCUAAAUACUGGCCAGAGACCGAUAGCGCACAAGUAGAGUGAUCGAAAGAUGAAAAGCACUUUGGAAAGAGAGUUAAAAAGCACGUGAAAUUGUUGAAAGGGAAGCGCUUGCAGCCAGACUUGCCUGUAGUUGCUCAUCCGGGUUUCUACCCGGUGCACUCUUCUAUAGGCAGGCCAGCAUCAGUUUGGGCGGUUGGAUAAAGGUCUCUGUCAUGUACCUCCUCUCGGGGAGAACUUAUAGGGGAGACGACAUGCAACCAGCCCGGACUGAGGUCCGCGCAUCUGCUAGGAUGCUGGCGUAAUGGCUGUAAGCGGCCCGUCUUGAAACACGGACCAAGGAGUCUAACAUCUAUGCGAGUGUUUGGGUGUCAAGCCCGAACGCGUAAUGAAAGUGAACGGAGGUGGGAACCUUUCGGGGUGCACCAUCGACCGAUCCUGAUGUCUUCGGAUGGAUUUGAGUAAGAGCAUAGCUGUUGGGACCCGAAAGAUGGUGAACUAUGCUUGAAUAGGGUGAAGCCAGAGGAAACUCUGGUGGAGGCUCGCAGCGGUUCUGACGUGCAAAUCGAUCGUCAAAUUUGGGGCAUAGGGGGCGAAAGACUAAUCGAACYAUCUAGUAGCUGGUUUCCUGCCGAAGUU